rnacentral:rRNA from 1 species
UACGAAGAGAGCUAGCGUUAUUCAAAAUGAUUGGGCGUAAAGAGUGAUUAGACGGUAUUUUAUUUUUAUUAGCAAAAUCUUAGAACCACUUUCUAAAAAUAUUUUUAAAAAAGUAAUACUAGAGUAUAGUAGGGGUUAGUAGAAUACCAAUUCUAGGGGCAAAAUCCGAAGAGUAUUGGUGGAAUGCCAGGGGCGAAGGCGGCUAACUAGGCUUUUACUGACGUUGUUAAACGAAGGCGUGGGGAUCAAACAGG